rnacentral:lncRNA from 1 species
GACCACCCAGUAGCUAGAUGUGGACUUUCGAGGCCUCGGACCCCGUUCCAAGUCCGACCGUCCCUUUCCAGGCCAUUGUGCCUUUCUUCGGCGUUUUGGGACGGAACCAAGAAACCGAGUCUGGGGCGUCACCGCUCGGCUUUUGUGGGCAAGAAACUUCGAGAUCACUCAGAAUCGGACCACCCAGUAGCUAGAUGUGGACUUUCGAGGCCUCGGACCCCGUUCCAAGUCCGACCGUCCCUUUCUAGGCCAUUGUGCCUUUCUUCGGCGUUUUGGAACGGAACCAAGAAACCGAGUCUGGGGCGUCACCGUUCGGCUUUUGUGGGCAAGAAACUUUGAGAUCACUCAGAAUCGGACCACCCAGUAGCUAGAUGUGGACUUUCGAGGCCUCGGGACCCCCGUUCCAAAGUCCGACCGUCCCUUUCCAGGCCAUUGUGCCUUUUUCGGCGUUUUGGGACGGAACCAAGAAACCGAGUCUGGGCGUCACCGUUCGGCUUUUGUGGGCAAGAAACUUCGAGAUCACUCAGAAUCGGACCACCCAGUAGCUAGAUGUCGACUUUCGAGGCCUCGGACCCCGUUCCAAGUCCGACCGUCCCUUUCUAGGCCAUUGUGCCUUUCUUCGGCGUUUUGGGACGGAACCAAGAAACCGAGUCUGGGGCGUCACCGUUCGGCUUUUGUGGGCAAGAAACUUCGAGAUCACUCAGAAUAGGACCACCCAGUAGCUAGAUGUGGACUUUCGAGGCCUCGGACCCCGUUCCAAGUCCGACCGUCCCUUUCCAGGCCAUUGUGCCUUUCUUCGGCGUUUUGGGACGGAACCAAGAAACCGAGUCUGCGGCGUCACCGUUCGGCGUUUUGUGGGCAAGAAACUUCGAGAUCACUCAGAAUCGGACCACCCAGUAGCUAGAUGUGGACUUUCGAGGCCUCGGACCCCGUUCCAAGUCCGACCGUCCCUUUCCAGGCCAUUGUGCCUUUCUUCGGCGUUUUAGGACGGAACCAAGAAACCGAGUCUGCGGCGUCACCGUUCGGCUUUUUGUGCGGCAAGAAACUUCGAGAUCACUCAGAAUCGGACACCCCAGUAGCUAGAUGUGGACUUUCGAGGCCUCGGACCCCGUUCCAAGUCCGACCGUCCCUUUCUAGGCCAUUGUGCCUUUCUUCGGCGUUUUGGGACGGAACCAAGAAACCGAGUCUGCGGCGUCACCGUUCGGCUUUUGUGGGCAAGAAACUUCGAGAUCACUAAGAAUGGAUCGGACCACCCAGUAGCUAGAUGUGGACUUUCGAGGCCUCGGACCCCGUUCCAAGUCCGACCGUCCCUUUCUAGGCCAUUGUGCCUUUCUUUCGGCGUUUUGGGACGGAACCAAAGAAACCGAGUCUGGCGGCGUCACCGUUCGGCUUUUGUGGGCAAGAAACUUCGAGAUCACUCAGAAAUCGGACCACCCAGUAGCUAGAUGUGGACUUUCGAGGCCUCGGACCCCGUUCCAAGUCCGACCGUCCCUCUUCAGGCCAUUGUGCCUUUCUUCGGCGUUUUGGGACGGAACCAAGAAACCGAGUCUGGGGCGUCACCGUUCGGCUUUUGUGGGCAAGAAACUUCGAGAUCACUCAGAAUCGGACCACCCAGUAGCUAGAUGUGGACUUUCGAGGCCUCGAACCCCGUUCCAAGUUCCGACCGUCCCUUUCCAGGCCAUUGUGCCUUUCUUCGGCGUUUUGGGACGGAACAAGAAACCGAGUCUGGGCGUCACCGUUCGGCUUUUGUGGGCAAGAAACUUCGAGAUCACUCAGAAUCGGACCACCCAGUAGCUAUUAGUGGACUUUCGAGGCCUCGGACCCCGUUCCAAGUCCGACCGUCCCUUUCUAGGCCAUUGUGCCUUUCUUCGGCGUUUUGGGACGGAACCAAGAAACCGAGUCGGGGCGUCACCGUUCGGCUUUUGUGGGCAAGAAACUUCGAGAUCACUCAGAAUCGGACCACCCAGUAGCUAGAUGUGGACUUUCGAGGCCUCGGACCCCCGUUCCAAGUCCGACCGUCCCUUUCUAGGCCAUUGUGCCUUUCUUCGGCGCUUUGGGACGAACCAAGAAACCGAGUCUGGGGCGUCACCGUUCGGCUUUUGUGGGCAAGAAACUUCGAGAUCACUCAGAAUCGGACCACCCAGUAGCUAGAUGUGGACUUUCGAGGCCUCGGACCCGUUCCAAGUCCGACCGUCCCUUUCCAGGCCAUUGUGCCUUUCUUCGGCGUUUUGGGACGGAACCAAGAAACCGAGUCUGCGGCGUCACCGUUCGGCUUUUGUGGGCAAGAAACUUCGAGAUCACUAAGAAUCGGACUCGGACCACCCAGUAGCUAGAUGUGGACUUUCGAGGCCUCGGACCCCGUUCCAAGUCCGACCGUCCCUUUCUAGGCCAUUGUGCCUUUUCUUUGCGUUUUGGGACGGAACCAAGAAACCGAGUCUGGGCCGUCACCGUUCGGCUUUUGUGGGCAAGAAACUUCGAGAUCACUCAGAAUCGGACCACCCAGUAGCUAGAUGUGGACUUUCGAGGCCUCGGACCCCGUUCCAAGUCCGACCGUCCCUUUCUAGGCCAUUGUGCCUUUCUUCGGCGUUUUGGGACGGAACCAAGAAACCGAGUCUGGGGCGUCACCGUUCGGCUUUUGUGGGCAAGAAACUUCGAGAUCACUCAGAAUCGGACCACCCAGUAGCUAGAUGUGGACUUUCGAGGCCUCGGACCCCGUUCCAAGUUCGACCGUCCCUUUCCAGGCCAUUGUGCCUUUCUUCGGCGUUUUGGGACGGAACCAAGAAACCGAGUCUGGGCGUCACCGUUCGGCUUUUGUGGGCAAGAAACUUCGAGAUCACUCAGAAUCGGACCACCCAGUAGCUAGAUGUGGACUUUCGAGGCCUCGGACCCGUUCCAAGUCCGACCGUCCCUUUCUAGGCCAUUGUGCCUUUCUUCGGGUUUGGGACGGAACCAAGAAACCGAGUCUGGGCGUCACCGUUCGGCUUUUGUGGGCAAGAAACUUCGAGAUCACUCAGAAUCGGACCACCCAGUAGCUAGAUGUGGACUUUCGAGGCCUCGGACCCCGUUCCAAGUCCGACCGUCCCUUUCCAGGCCAUUGUGCCUUUCUUCGGCGUUUUGGGACGGAACCAAGAAACCGAGUCUGGGGCGUCACCGUUCGGCUUUUGUGGGCAAGAAACUUCGAGAUCACUCAGAAUCGGACCACCCAGUAGCUAGAUGUGGACUUUCGAGGCUCGGCCGGACCCCGUUCCAAGUCCGACCGGUCCCUUUCUAGGCCAUUGUGCCUUUCUUCGCGGCUUUGGGACGGAACCAAGAAACCGAGUCUGGGCGUCACCGUUCGGCUUUUGUGGGCAAGAAACUUCGAGAUCACUCUGAAUCGGACCACCCAGUAGCCGGAUGUGGACUUUCGAGGCCUCGGACCCCGUUCCAAGUCCGACCGUCCCUUCUAGGCCAUUGUGCCUUUCUUCGGCGUUUUGGGACGGAACCAAGAAACCGAGUCUGGCGUCACCCGUUCGGCUUUUGUGGGCAAGAAACUUCGAGAUCACUCAGAAAUCGGACCCACCCAGUAGCUAGAUGUGGACUUUCGAGGCCUCGGACCCCGUUCCAAGUCCGACCGUCCCUUUCAGGCCAUUGUGCCUUUCUUCGGCGUUUUGGGACGGAACCAAGAAACCGAGUCUGGGGCGUCCCGUUCGGCUUUUGUGGGCAAGAAACUUCGAGAUCACUCAGAAUCGAACCACCCAGUAGCUAGAUGUGGACUUUCGAGGCCUCGGACCCCGUUCCAAGUCCGGACCGUCCCUUUCUUGGCCAUUGUGCCUUUCUUCGGCGUUUUGGGACGGAACCAAGAAACCGAGUCUGGCGUCACCGUUCGGCUUUUGUGGGCAAGAAACUUCGAGAUCACUCUGAAUUCGGACCACCCAGUAGCUAGAUGUGGACUUUCGAGGCCUCGGACCCCCGUUCCAAGUCCGACCGUCCCUUUCCAGGCCAUUGUGCCUUUCUUCGGCGUUUUGGGGACGGAACCAAGAAACCGAGUCUGGCGUCACCGUUCGGCUUUUGUGGGCAAGAAACUUCGAGAUCACUGUGAAUCGGACCACCCCAGUAGCUAGAUGUGGACUUUCGAGGCCUCGGACCCCGUUCCAAGUCCGACCGUCCUUUUCUAGGCCAUUGUGCCUUUCUUCGGCGUUUUGGGACGGAACCAAGAAACCGAGUCUGGGCGUCACCGUUCGGCUUUUGUGGGCAAGAAACUUCGAGAUCACUCAGAAUCGGACCACCCAGUAGCUAGAUGUGGACUUUCGAGGCCUCGGACCCCGUUCCAAGUCCGACCGUCCCU